rnacentral:rRNA from 1 species
AUAGCCAUCACUAACAUCUAUGCUCCUUCUGCACGUGCCCUCAAACAAACUUUCUUCGACGAGCUCCUCUCCAUCGCUCAACCUGACCACGUGCCUUGGCUGGUCAUCGGCGAUUUCAACCUCCUUCGCUUCCCCUCAGACAAAAACAAAUCCUCCUUCCGACAGUCAGAAGCUAACGCCUUUAACCACGUUAUCGACACCUUAGCUCUCAUCGAACUGCCUCUCCUCGACCGACAAUUUGCGUGGACCAACAACCACUCCUCGCCCACUCUGGAAAGGAUCAAUCGUGCCUUUUUAACCUAG